rnacentral:rRNA from 1 species
UACGUAGGGGGCGAGCGUUGUCCGGAAUCAUUGGGCGUAAAGAGCGUGUAGGCGGUUCGGUAAGUCCGCUGUGAAAGUCCGGGGCUCAACCCUGGGAUGGCGGUGGAUACUGUCGGGCUAGAGUCCGGAAGAGGAGAGUGGAAUUCCUGGUGUAGCGGUGAAAUGCGCAGAUAUCAGGAGGAACACCAAUUGCGAAGGCAGCUCGCUGGGACGUUACUGACGCUGAGACGCGAAAGCGUGGGGAGCAAACAGG